rnacentral:rRNA from 1 species
UUCCGCCAGGAGCACCGCUGGGUAGCUACGCUCGGACGAGAUAACCGCUGAAGGCAUCUAAGCGGGAAGCUUCCCUUAAAACUAGGUAUCCCAAUUAAGGUGGUGGUAGACAACCACUUCGAUAGGUCAGGGGUGAAAGCAUGGUGACAUGUUGAGCUGACUGAUACUAAUUACCUGAUUGACUUGUUCAA